rnacentral:rRNA from 1 species
UACGUAUGUCGCGAGCGUUAUCCGGAAUUAUUGGGCAUAAAGGGCAUCUAGGCGGUCGGGUAAGUCCGGGGUGAAAACUGCUGGCUCAACCAGCAGCCUGCCUUGGAAACUACCCGGCUUGAGUGCUGGAGAGGUGGACGGAACUGCACGAGUAGAGGUGAAAUUCGUAGAUAUGUGCAGGAAUGCCGAUGAUGAAGAUAGUUCACUGGACGGCAACUGACGCUGAAGUGCGAAAGCUAGGGGAGCGAACAGG